UAUUCCUUCUCUCGCCGAAAGCCUUCUUCUCCUCCUCGUCUUCCCCUCUCCCUCACGCGGCGCGCAACAUCUUCUCCCUCCCGAACCCACUUCGCAGAUUCCCUUCUCCCUUCACCUCUCCGCAUUGCCGUCGACGUCGACGGUCGCCUCCCUGAUGCCGACGCUCAAGAGCCCUCCCUUUGCGUCAUUCUCUUCUCUCCCGACUCCUCUUCAUCACUUGACGACACCGCCUGAUGCCCCACCACCCACUGCCAUCGUCGGUGUAGCCCAGCGUCGCAGCUAACCAAGGGCAUGCCUACCACGAUCUCCCCCUUCCAAUUUUCGCUUGUGCCCUAGAUAUGGACUAUCGCCGCCUCCUCUCAGUCUCUACCGACACAGCUAACCCUAGAUCAAUGCCGGUGUCCCUUCCUUCCGUCAACUCAUUGCUACUUUCCGCGAACCACCGUCGUUGUGUGCUGCCACGAGGUCCGCCGUUAGUUCCUCUUCUCCACGCCAUUGCCACUGUCAAUGCUUUCCUUCCAAUGAGCAAUGAGUGCUCCUCAGGCAGAGAUAGGGAAGAAGCAGUGAACCUUCGGCAGAAACAAUGAAGUUGUUGGAUCCGCAAUUGUCGCUCCAAUCGUUCUACUAACAGCAGCUUCAUAGUAGCUUAUAUCAUGAAUUUUCAGUAGCAUGCUUCUUCGACUGUGAAUUCUACAACGGAGCAUUCAAUUUGGGACUUUGAGUUGAGACGAGCGUCUCAACGUAGAGAUAGUCAGGAUGAUCUAUAUAAAGGCGGGUAUCUCUUGACUUAUCUUUUAUGAUAUUGUCACUUUGAUAUGCUUAGUAAAUUAUAGCUAGAAGCAAUGACCAUGCUUAGAUUUGCCUUGGUAUGUCAUUAUUUGACCCCUAUAGUAUGUUCUGUUCGUUGCCUGUUAUGUAUCCAUGUUUAUAUCUCUUGAUUAUUGCCAUGUGCACCUUAGUUUCUAGAUGAAGUGACAUACUAGGGUUCACUGAGUAUAUGACUAAUUUUUUGGAUUUUAUGAUCUGGCAUGUGUACUUAGAUUUGUGAUACCUAGGUCAUUGUAUGAUUUAUUUUCCUGUUGGUACAUAUUAUGUGGAGGUGAUUAUGGUUAGGAUUUACAUGCUUAAUGUCAUGCAUCAUCUUGCAUGAUUGCAUGCUGUACGAUUGUUGACUCCAUUAUUGUUUAACACAUCGCCAGUUACAUGAUCUGCACAAACAACCACUCAUGGAUUAGUGGUAUAUCAGGCAGAGUGUGUGACAGUUUUUCUCUGUUAGACUCUGUUGGUCUGCUCAUGGGUAAUGAUGAUGCAGCGUGGUAGCCGGUAGGGAUCCCUUCUCUGGAUUGUCUCUGGGAGAUGAGAACAUUGCGUUCUCCCACUUUGUUUGGGGCAGGAGGAUAAGUGUACUCCGACAGUAUCCUGUCCACUCGACCACUCAGGAGUAGUGAUGGCGGAGUGCACAGUUAUUAUAGCCAUACUCACUCAGUCUCACCAUCGCGUGUGAGUUGGCUGACUAGCGUCAGGGGUGACACUUGUCAUUUUGCACCAUUUUACAUUGAUUGUAUUUAUUGUUUGUGAUUGCUACACUUUAUUUGUUACAUUUUGGUGUUGCAUAUGAUUGACAUGCAUACAGGAGACAUUAUAUAUAUCUGGUCUGACGACUCUUACAUAUUGAUAGGUGAUCCUGGUGAGUACAGUUCUUCUUCUGUUAUCUUUUCUGUUUGCAUUUCUUAUUAUUGAUCAGAAGACUGUACUCCAUGAUUAUUACUGAUAGUUAUAUCUUAUUGGGCAUGUUAGCUUGAUAUCCGCUGAGUUCUUUGAACAUACCGUUGAGCUAUUUCUAUUUCAGGUAGCAGGUAGAUUUUGGAGUCGCUUGGAGUAUCCUGUCUGCCGGUUCCCACGUUACAUUCGAAGACCUGUUUCUGGUUUUCAUUUGUACUUUAUUUGGUUUAUGCUUUUGGUUUACUUAGCAAUGUUAAAUUUCGAUUUUGGUUCCGGUGUGUUGUGAUGUGGUGUUUUGUAUUGUUUGUUGUGUUGUGUAAGUCUAGCCAGUUAGUAGUCAUCCUUUUGGUUUGUAAUGGUUUUCUGUUGUAUUUCCGUUAUGUUCUUCUUUUUAGUACUGUUGAGUGGGCUGUUAUAUA